rnacentral:lncRNA from 15 species
UUAUUUCCCCAUAUUUUACUAGAAUAGGAGGGGUGAGAAAUGUAGAGAGGGGGUGGGUGCGGGUGAAAGUCAGCAUUCCAGCUAGACCAGAGCGGAGCAGAGGUCGUACGGGUAGAGAGCAUGGGUGGAGGUGUGGGUGUUGCGGUGGCGGUAGUGCAGGGGCGUAGCAGAGUAAAGAGCAAAGAGUUCCUGAUUCCACAGCCCUGAGCUCACCACCUUUGCGCCUGCCGCCAGCCACUCCUUUUCUCCUUCACACCAUCCUCUUCUUUCUCCUCCCACUACCCCCUCCACCAUGUCUCUCCAUCUGAGGUGUUAACUCCUUGUUGGGCAGUUCCAGAGCCAUUGGCAUGGAUGUCGGUUUUCAUGGAAGCUUGGGGAAGAGGCGGGCGUGCUGCUAUGGAUCCUUACUGGAAGUGAAGGCGUGUGUGCCGACAUACAGAGCGGAGCUGCAGUGCUUCAUCCAGGGGGAGGGAGCGACUUCAGGCUGAAAUGAAUUGUACCUAUGCCAUCAUGUAAAUGAUCACAGCUUUGACUAUGCAAAUUCAGGGGCAGAGAGAAUGAGACGCGGUGCGAAGAGGAGGGUGAUUAAGAGGAGACAUCAAUUCACAUUCAGGCUCAUGGAUCAUCCGUGUUUAUGCUGAUGCUUUAUACACAACAGAGAGCGACAUGUGAUAAUUAAUAAUUCAAACACAAGCAGAUAUAUCCUUGGUGUCACACAAAAACCUUGUAUGGCAACCUUGUAUCUCCAAUUUUGAUUUUAAUGUUUUGUGUAAUUGAAG